AACGAAUAAUUGUUUUUCACAUUCUCUCUGAACUUCCCCUUGACAACAUGCCCAACUCUGAUUUGCUUGUUGCUUCUCCCCCCGUUUCUUUGUCUCCUCAAGUGGUUGUCCGUGAUGGAAUACCCAAUUCUGAUUUGCCUGUUGUUUCUCCCCCCGUCUCUUUGUCUC